rnacentral:rRNA from 1 species
GCAUGGGGGAACCCUGAUGCAGCGACGCCGCGUGGAGGAAGAAGGUCUUCUNCNUUGUAAACUCCUGUUGUUGGGGAAGAUAAUGACGGUACCCAACAAGGAAGUGACGGCUAACUACGUGCCAGCAGCCGCGGUAAAACGUAGGUCACAAGCGUUGUCCGGAAUUACUGGGUGUAAAGGGAGCGCAGGCGGGAAGACAAGUUGGAAGUGAAAUCUAUGGGCUCAACCCAUAAACUGCUUUCAAAACUGUUUUUCUUGAGUAGUGCAGAGGUAGGCGGAAUUCCCGGUGUAGCGGUGGAAUGCGUAGAUAUCGGGAGGAACACCAGUGGCGAAGGCGGCCUACUGGGCACCAACUGACGCUGAGGCUCGAAAGUGUGGGUAGCAAACAGGAUUAGAUACCCUGGUAGUCCAAGGGCGAAUUC